UACGAAGGGGGCUAGCGUUAUUCGGAAUUACUGGGCGUAAAGGGCGCGUAGGCGGUGUGUCAAGUCAGGCGUGAAAGCCCCGGGCUCAACCUGGGAACCGCGCUUGAGACUGGCACGCUCGAGUUCGGGAGAGGAUGGUGGAAUUCCCAGUGUAGAGGUGAAAUUCGUAGAUAUUGGGAAGAACACCGAUGGCGAAGGCAGCCAUCUGGACCGACACUGACGCUGAGGCGCGAAAGCGUGGGGAGCAAACAGG
rnacentral:rRNA from 1 species